UCCUUGUCAGUUCAUCAGUGUAUGGUCCCUCAUGUUCUUCUUGUGCCGUUAGUUUCCUAACGGAUUUGUUACCUGUGUUGGAUUAUCUGUUUUGUUCUUGGCUUAGUUCCUUAGUUUUCCUCUUUACCCUGUUCCUGGAUUCCUGUCUGCCCUCCCGUUCACCCGACUGACUCUCAUACACAAGCACGGCUGCAUGUGUGCGUACCUGGACGAGGUAGUGGGAGCAGAGGCUGAGGAGCUCCAGCAGCUGAAGGUGGCUGCCUGCAGACAGGACGUCCUGGAUCACCGCCGGCUCCAGCAGAAUCUGGGCAGAGGAGAUAAACAAGAUCAAUUGUUUUUGUUUUUUUGUUUUUUUCACUUUAUCAAGUCUACCUCAUUUAUUUUACCCAAAUUAGCUCUCUACCACCUGCUUCCUCUCAAACAAUUGUUGAAAGUCAUUCAUUUUCUGAAGUUUUAUUUAUUUAUUUAUUUAUUUUUAAAGUUUAUCGGGUUGAGUAGUAUUUUUUUUUUUGCUCCCUGUAUGUAUUACCAGGCAAUGGCCACUUUGGCCCCAAGCAGGCACUGUUGUGUCACAAAUCCAGUGUUUCAACAUAGACACAAGAAUGAAAAAAUUCAUGUUUGCUGCACUUUUGUUUUUGUUGUUGAAGAGUUGUGAUAACAGUAACUGAGGAUGAGUAUUAUAUUUCUCUACCAAGUCAUGACCCAGAUAAUUCAGAAGCAAAUGUAUGAGUAUGACAAUGCUGACUCAGAGGUCAUGAGUUUGACAGCAAAAGCAGUGUACAAAACCGUGCUGCAAUAGCCAUAAGACAGUGAUUGUACAUUUUGACUAUUGAGCUGACUCAUUUGUGUUUGGUAAAUGCUUGUCAAUGAGCAGUUAUAGUAGCCUAAGCGUAACACAGCACAAUAUGUAUAAACAAUUAAUGAAAAUUCUGUCUAUAUUCCAGGUUAUUUAAAAAAAAAGGAGAAAAAAAAAAAAGAUGUUGCAAUAGACAGUGAAAGUGAGUGUGACAGACCAAAAAUUGCUCUAUCAACGUGUUUGAUUCAUCAUUAUCAUCCUCUGAGUAAAGCAACACAUUCACACAAUUAUUACAGCCCUGAUUCUGCCAAAAUGCCUCUUG